UGGGGAAUAUUGGACAAUGGGCGCAAGCCUGAUCCAGCAAUGCCGCGUGAGUGAUGAAGGCCUUAGGGUUGUAAAGCUCUUUCGCACGCGACGAUGAUGACGGUAGCGUGAGAAGAAGCCCCGGCUAACUUCGUGCCAGCAGCCGCGGUAAUACGAAGGGGGCUAGCGUUGUUCGGAAUUACUGGGCGUAAAGGGCGCGUAGGCGGCCUGUUUAGUCAGAAGUGAAAGCCCCGGGCUCAACCUGGGAAUAGCUUUUGAUACUGGCAGGCUUGAGUUCCGGAGAGGAUGGUGGAAUUCCCAGUGUAGAGGUGAAAUUCGUAGAUAUUGGAGCAACACCGGUGGCGAAGGCGGCCAUCUGGACGGACACUGACGCUGAGGCGCGAAAGCGUGGGGAGCAAACAGGAUUAGAUNCGUGGUAGUCCACGCCGUAAACGAUGAAUGCUAGACGUCGGGGUGCAUGCACUUCGGUGUCGCCGCUAACGCAUUAAGCAUUCCGCCUGGGGAGUACGGCCGGCNG
rnacentral:rRNA from 1 species